UCGGCGUGCUUAACACAUGCAAGUCGAACGGAAAGGCUCUGCUUUUGUGGGGUGCUCGAGUGGCGAACGGGUGAGUAACACGUGAGUAACCUGCCCUUGACUUUGGGAUAACUUCAGGAAACUGGGGCUAAUACCGGAUAGGAGCUCCUGCUGCAUGGUGGGGGUUGGAAAGUUUCGGCGGUUGGGGAUGGACUCGCGGCUUAUCAGCUUGUUGGUGGGGUAGUGGCUUACCAAGGCUUUGACGGGUAGCCGGCCUGAGAGGGUGACCGGCCACAUUGGGACUGAGAUACGGCCCAGACUCCUACGGGAGGCAGCAGUGGGGAAUAUUGCACAAUGGGCGGAAGCCUGAUGCAGCAACGCCGCGUGCGGGAUGACGGCCUUCGGGUUGUAAACCGCUUUCGCCUGUGACGAAGCGUGAGUGACGGUAAUGGGUAAAGAAGCACCGGCUAACUACGUGCCAGCAGCCGCGGUGAUACGUAGGGUGCGAGCGUUGUCCGGAUUUAUUGGGCGUAAAGGGCUCGUAGGUGGUUGAUCGCGUCGGAAGUGUAAUCUUGGGGCUUAACCCUGAGCGUGCUUUCGAUACGGGUUGACUUGAGGAAGGUAGGGGAGAAUGGAAUUCCUGGUGGAGCGGUGGAAUGCGCAGAUAUCAGGAGGAACACCAGUGGCGAAGGCGGUUCUCUGGGCCUUUCCUGACGCUGAGGAGCGAAAGCGUGGGGAGCGAACAGGCUUAGAUACCCUGGUAGUCCACGCUGUAAACGGUGGGUACUAGGUGUGGGGUCCAUUCCACGGGUUCCGUGCCGUAGCUAACGCUUUAAGUACCCCGCCUGGGGAGUACGGCCGCAAGGCUAAAACUCAAAGGAAUUGACGGGGCCCCGCACAAGCGGCGGAGCAUGCGGAUUAAUUCGAUGCAACGCGUAGAACCUUACCUGGGUUUGACAUGGAUCGGGAGUGCUCAGAGAUGGGUGUGCCUCUUUUGGGGUCGGUUCACAGGUGGUGCAUGGCUGUCGUCAGCUCGUGUCGUGAGAUGUUGGGUUAAGUCCCGCAACGAGCGCAACCCUUGUUCACUGUUGCCAGCACGUUAUGGUGGGGACUCAGUGGAGACCGCCGGGGUCAACUCGGAGGAAGGUGGGGAUGACGUCAAGUCAUCAUGCCCCUUAUGUCCAGGGCUUCACGCAUGCUACAAUGGCUGGUACAGAGAGUGGCGAGCCUGUGAGGGUGAGCGAAUCUCGGAAAGCCGGUCUCAGUUCGGAUUGGGGUCUGCAACUCGACCUCAUGAAGUCGGAGUCACUAGUAAUCGCAGAUCAGCAACGCUGCGGUGAAUACGUUCCCGGGGCUUGUACACACCGCCCGUCAAGUCAUGAAAGUUGGUAACACCCGAAGCCGGUGGCCUAACCGUUGUGGGGGAGCCGUCGAAGGUGGGACUGGUGAUUAGG
rnacentral:rRNA from 1 species